rnacentral:rRNA from 1 species
UACGAAGGGUGCAAGCGUUGUUCGGAUUCAUUGGGCGUAAAGGGUGCGUAGGUGGCGGGGUAAGUCAGGUGUGAAAUCUCGGGGCUCAACCCCGAAACUGCACUUGAUACUGCCUUGCUCGAGUACUGGAGAGGAGAUUGGAAUUUACGGUGUAGCAGUGAAAUGCGUAGAUAUCGUAAGGAAGACCAGUGGCGAAGGCGAAUCUCUGGACAGUUACUGACACUGAGGCACGAAGGCCAGGGGAGCAAACGGG